UUUAGUAUUGCGUAGAUCAAAGCAAUAGGUUCUGUAAUCGGCAGAUCCAAAAGCCAGCAAAUGAGUUGAGUGAGCAGAGAACUGAACACAGCAGACGUUUGCUAUGUUCCAAAUUGUGCCCAAACAGUUCUUCUCAUUAAUACUCCAAAGUUUUACAGCACAAUCAUCACUGCCACUGGCCAAUUUUGUAGGAUGCACUUGUGAAAAGUCAACAGACCAUGCCCUCUUAGUGUGUUCAUUGAAUUGAGA
rnacentral:misc_RNA from 1 species